rnacentral:lncRNA from 1 species
AUGAGACCACCUUCCAAGGUUAACGCUAUCAUUCACAGAGGGUGGCUGGGCACCUUUCUCCCUCUGGGGGCACUUACUAAAGAACAUGUUCUGAAACACUGCAGGUUACAUCUCAAGGGGGGUGAGGGGCAUGACCCUGAUGAGCUGAACUCCCAGGAUCCUUUCAACACCAGCAAGCAACUGAACUCGGAAGGCAAUGGCUGGAGAGAAACAGGCAGAGGAAGGACUGAAGGACAGAAGGACAUGUCCCCGAUCGCCUACCUCGCAACAGUUCCCAAGAGAUGCUCUCUGAGCCACCUCUGUGGAAAACAACAACUUAGAAAAGACAGAAGUGAAUUGAAAGACCUUUUCCAGGUUUGGGGCCAAGAGACUCUCAGAAUAGUCUCGACAAACAGGGACUCCACCAGAUCUAAGCACAUGUAA